UACAGAGGGUGCGAGCGUUAAUCGGAAUUACUGGGCGUAAAGCGUGCGUAGACGGUUAUUUAAGUCGGAUGUGAAAGCCCCGGGCUCAACCUGGGAAUUGCAUUCGAGACUGAAUAGCUAGGGUACGGUAGAGGGUGGUGGAAUUUCCUGUGUAGCGGUGAAAUGCGUAGAUAUAGGAAGGAACACCAGUGGCGAAGGCGACCACCUGGACUGAUACUGACACUGAGGUGCGAAAGCGUGGGGAGCAAACAGG
rnacentral:rRNA from 1 species